rnacentral:rRNA from 14 species
AAAUUGAAGAGUUUGAUCAUGGCUCAGAUUGAACGCUGGCGGCAGGCCUAACACAUGCAAGUCGAACGGUAACAGGAAGCAGCUUGCUGUUUCGCUGACGAGUGGCGGACGGGUGAGUAAUGUCUGGGAAACUGCCUGAUGGAGGGGGAUAACUACUGGAAACGGUGGCUAAUACCGCAUAACGUCGCAAGACCAAAGAGGGGGACCUUCGGGCCUCUUGCCAUCAGAUGUGCCCAGAUGGGAUUAGCU